rnacentral:rRNA from 1 species
UACGGAGGGUGCAAGCGUUGUUCGGAAUUAUUGGGCGUAAGGCGGCGUAGGCGGUUUGUCGCGUCUGCUGUGAAAACUGGAGGCUCAACCUCCAGCCUGCAGUGGGUACGGGCAGACUAGAGUGCGGUAGGGGAGAUUGGAAUUCCUGGUGUAGCGGUGGAAUGCGCAGAUAUCAGGAGGAACACCGAUGGCGAAGGCAGAUCUCUGGGCCGUAACUGACGCUGAGGAGCGAAAGCAUGGGAGCGAACAGG